rnacentral:tRNA from 1 species
GGACAGGUGGCCGAGCGGCUGAAGGCACACGCUUGGAAAGCGUGCAUACGGGAAACCGUAUCAAGAGUUCGAAUCUCUUCCUGUCCGCCA